rnacentral:lncRNA from 1 species
UUUGACUUUCAAUUCUGGGUUUAUGAUGAGCAGCUCCCAUUGAAGAAGAAACCAGAACUUUGGCUAUUAGAAACUUUUUAUUUUACAAAUACAAAGACUUAUUUAUGUCAAGUAAUUGAGUUCCCAGAUGUUCUCAUUCUGUAUCAGUGACUGUAAACAGUGUCAGCCUUGGUAAUAUGACACAAUGAAUAUAUAUGUAUUCACAUUCAUAUUCAGGAGUCAGCCUCAACACUACAGUCAAUUCACAGGUUAUCUUGCUCAUUCCUGGAAACUGGUGUUUAUUGACUGUGCAGAUGAUAAAAUUGUCUUUGUUUUAUUUAUUCCAUAUGAGCCUGCAAAGUAUUCUAGAAGAAAUAUUACUUCUUGCCCCUCUAUUCCCAUUCAUCCUAUCCCCUUUACUAAAGUAAACUGAGGUAUCUGGAUAUAGCAAUCUAAUUUGGGAUGACUCAAGAGAGAUACAGAAAAAGAUAGGUAACAUUGAAUACUCAAAAUUCAAUAAUGAAAAAUAAUUACUUUAGUGAAAAGCCAGCUGUUCUUUCUUUCCUAAUAGGCAUGUGAUGUUGAUGAAAAAUAGCAUUCAAGUAAAGUUUACCAAGUAGGACUGGUUUGAUUCGGGGUAUUAUAUUAUUCUGCAGAAUAGGAAAUGUUAUUUAGGUUGAACAAAAAGCUGAACAGUCCAGCCAGUCCAAAAGACCCAAAUACCAAAGGAUUAUCUUUAGAGAAUGAAAAAUGCUGGUGCAUUAUAUGUAAGGCAAUGCAUGAUAAUUCUUUCAGAGAAUAUUCUGCCUGUGUUUUCUAUGUCCUUCAAAUUUCAUUUGAAUGAAUGCUUUAUGGAUUUCUGUGACGCUUGGGGACAUGUUAAAAUACCAUUGCAAACAUACCAGGGAACUCAGGUUUAGAUAAUUCUCGAUUUGAAUGAUUAUAGCAUGCUGCUGUAUCCCAUUUGGAAAAA